AGUGGAUGGGGAGCAACCUAGUUGUGCGUGUGUAAAGGUAGUGCCAAGAAAAGCGAUGAUCAUGUUGAAAAUCAAUUCCCGGUACCCGAAACCGACACAGGUGGGCAAGUAGAGAAUACUAAGGGGCGCGAGGUAACUCUCUCCAAGGAACUCGGCAAAAUGACCCCGUAACUUAGGGAGAAGGGGUGCCACCGAGAGGUGGUCGCAGUGAAGAGGCCCAGGCGACUGUUUAGCAAAAACAUAGGUCUCUGCAAACUCGAAAGAGGAGGUAUAGGGGCUGACGCCUGCCCAGUGCCGGAAGGUUAAAGAAGUUGGUCAGUUUUAGGAUGAAGCUAGCGACUGAAGCCCCGGUGAACGGCGGCCGUAACUAUAACGGUCCUAAGGUAGCGAAAUUCCUUGUCGGGUAAGUUCCGACCCGCACGAAAGGCGUAACGAUCUGGGCGCUGUCUCGGAGAGAGGCUCGGCGAAAUAGGAUUGUCUGUGAAGAUGCGGACUACCUGCAUUUGGACAGAAAGACCCUAUGAAGCUUUACUAUAGCUUGGAAUUGUGUUCGGGCUUCCUGUGCGCAGGAUAGGUGGGAGGCGUAGAAGGUAUUCUUGUGGGGAUACUGGAGCCAACGGUGAGAUACCACUCUCAGGAGGCUAGAAUUCUAACUUAAUUAAGGACAGUUUCAGGUGGGUAGUUUGACUGGGGCGGUCGCCUCCAAAAAGGUAACGGAGGCGUACAAAGGUUCCCUCAGACUGGUUGGAAAUCAGUCGAAGAGUGCAAAGGCAGAAGGGAGCUUGACUGCGAGAAGUACAGUUCGAGCAGGGUGGAAACACGGUCUUAGUGAUCCGACGGUGCUGUGUGGAAGGGCCGUCGCUCAACGGAUAAAAGUUACUCUAGGAUAACAGGCUGAUCUCCCCCAAGAGUUCACAUCGACGGGGAGGUUUGGCACCUCGAUGUCGGCUCAUCGCAACCUGGGGCGGAAGUACGUCCCAAGGGUUGGGCUGUUCGCCCAUUAAAGCGGUACGUGAGCUGGGUUCAGAACGUCGUGAGACAGUUCGGUCCAUAUCCGAUGUAGGCGUGAGAAUAUUGAGAGGAGCCUUCCUUAGUACGAGAGGACCGGGAAGGACGCACCGCUGGUGUACCUGUUAUGAUGCCAAUUGUAAACGCAGGGUAGCCAAGUGCGGAGAGGAUAACCGCUGAAAGCAUCUAAGUGGGAAGCCCACCUCAAGAUGAGUAUUCUGGUGUAAGGUCACGGGAAGACGACCCGUAAAUAGGCACGAGGUGGAAGUGCAGAGAUGUAUGAAGCCGAAGUGUACUAAUAGACCGUCGGCUUGACC
rnacentral:rRNA from 1 species